CUAUGUACGCAAACGUCUUUCAGCAUGACACCAGCGCCGCCCGGAUGGCCUCCGGCAUGACCUCGCGUGCCCGCCGACCGGAAUCCCACAUUUUCGCUGGGUGACCGGAGCGUUUUGCUGUUCC
rnacentral:sRNA from 1 species